GAAGAUAAAUUAUUAAAAGCGCGCCUAAAGCAACUACGCAUUUGCGUUUUGCGAGGGCCAUGGAAUUUGCUAAAUAGCACGCCUCGAAAUCUAAGAAUUGAAACAAAAACAUCAAAUGAGGGUCAUACAUUUGAGAUUUUGUUUGGCACGACACACCUCAAUUUAUUCUAACCAAAGACUUCUAAAUUAGCUUAUGAGAGCCACAAGUUAUGAGUUUUCUUGUGAAUGGCGCACCCCACGUCACUAAAUAUUACAUUAAGCAUACAAAUAUUACCACGGAAAACAAUGACGAACACACUGCUACUCAGAAAACGAAAAAUAAUCCUCUAGUUAACAGAAAUUCCUAAAAUAUUAAUAGUGAACAAUAAUAAACUAUCAUUCCUUAAGGAAAAAGCAC
rnacentral:lncRNA from 1 species